CUCCUUGCCUUUAUCCCACGAGAUGUGCAGGUGAGAAGAUAUAAUGAGAAAGAGUUGGAAAGAAACUGUGAAAAGAAAACCUCAUAUAGAUUUUUGGACGCCAUAAAGGUUGACUGAACCUUUGAUUUCUUGUGGUUUCCAGCAAAUCUCAAUCUUCUCCGGCCUGAUGGAAGGCAAAGAGAGGAAUGAUGUGUUUCUCUCGUUUGCUUGCUUCUCCGUUUGGAAGAAAAAUACAAGAAAAACAAUAAGAUCAGGUGGCAGAGGACUCUUGCAAGUAAAACAAGCAGUCAAAGAAGAAGAACAUGCCCUGGCAGAAGAUGUAAAGCAAAGUGAAGAACCUGCUUUGAUUGAAGUCAAAAAUCAGAAACUCCUCAAAGCACAGCAGACAAAAAACCAGUACAAGAAAACCGCACUAUAAACUAGGGCUGACAGCUGGCACAACAAAACCUUGCAUGGAAAGUUCCUUGACAAAAUUGAAGGAAAAGCUGACAAGGAGAAGACCUGGCUCUGGCUCACGAAUGGGACCCUGAAGAAGGAGACAGAAGGCCUGAUCCUUGCAGCCCAGGAGCAAGACAUCAGAACAAAGGCAAUUCAGGCCAAGAUCGAAAAAUCAGCUGAUGACCCAAAAUGCAGACUCUGCAAGGAAACCGACGAAACCAUUGAUCAUAUCCUCAGCUGCUGUAAGAAAAUCGCACAGACAGACUACAAACAGAGGCACAACUAUGUGGCCCAAACGAUUCGUUGGAACUUAUGCCUCAAGUCCCACCUCCCAGCAG
rnacentral:lncRNA from 11 species